UGUUAAAAAUCAGUAGUUUUUCAUGACACUUGAGUACAAUUAGUUGUGGCAGUAAAAAGUGUUCAAUGGAGUUAUGGAAUGUUCUGAACUUCUCCAACAACCCAAGAAGGGUAAUCAAUUUUUAAAUAAAUCAAUUUGGUUUAUGUUUCAGGUUUGGUGAAUAUGGUUUAUCCAAGUGUUGUCCAUUCCAGAUUUGAGCAUUCCCUUGGCGUGUAGUGGCUUGCUGGUUAAUCCAUUGAAAUGCUUAAAACAUUUCAAGAAUCAAUUUAAUUUUCAUUGAUUUACUCUUAUAAGGGAACAAUAGAAAUUAAACUAGCAGGUAUGUAUUAUGUAGUGGUUCUUAGAACUGCUUAUGAUUCUUUAUCUAAUAUUUAUUUUUAAAUGAUCUUGUCAUUUUUUUAUAGGACUUCUGUUAUGAUGUUGGCCAUGGGCUUUCAGUCACUUAUUCGAAAGUGACAGGCACAAAUGUCAGUCAAUAUGGUAGAUUAUGUCGUCAAUGAACAUCACAUUGAUGUUGAUUCUGAGAUGAUAAAAGGAGUCCAGAUUGAGGUGUACAGAGAGAUGAUUACUCCUGUAGUAGAUCCAUUUAAGUAUUUGAUUCAGGUUCAGUUGGUUUGGGGAGGAUGUAUGCAUUGUUACUGUGCUUACUCGUUAAAGUUCUGGAACUGUCGUGAGUGUUCAUAAAUUAUAAAA